GAUGAACGCUGGCGGCGUGCUUAACACAUGCAAGUCGAACGGAAAGGCCCAAGCUUGCUUGGGUACUCGAGUGGCGAACGGGUGAGUAACACGUGGGUGAUCUGCCCUGCACUUCGGGAUAAGCCUGGGAAACUGGGUCUAAUACCGGAUAGGACCACAUUUUGGAUGGUGUGGUGGAAAGUUUUUCGGUGUGGGAUGAGCUCGCGGCCUAUCAGCUUGUUGGUGGGGUAAUGGCCUACCAAGGCGUCGACGGGUAGCCGGCCUGAGAGGGUGUACGGCCACAUUGGGACUGAGAGACGGCCCAGACUCCUACGGGAGGCAGCAGUGGGGAAUAUUGCACAAUGGGCGCAAGCCUGAUGCAGCGACGCCGCGUGGGGGAUGACGGCCUUCGGGUUGUAAAAUCCUUUCGCUAGGGACGAAGCGUUAUGUGACGGUACCUGGAGAAGAAGCACCGGCUAACUACGUG
rnacentral:rRNA from 1 species